rnacentral:rRNA from 1 species
AACGAACGCUGGCGGCAUGGAUUAGGCAUGCAAGUCGAACGGGGUAGCAAUACCCAGUGGCGGAAGGGUGAGGAACGCGUGAGUAAUCUGCCUCUAAGUUGGGAAUAACAGUUGGAAACGACUGCUAAUACCGAAUGUGGCUUGAGUACCGCAUGGUGCUCUGGCUAAAGAUUUUAUCGCUUAGAGAUGAGCUCGCGUCCCAUUAGCUAGUUGGUGAGGUAACGGCUCACCAAGGCAAUGAUGGGUAGCUGGUCUGAGAGGAUGGUCAGCCACACUGGAACUGAGACACUGUCCAGACUCCUACGGGAGGCUGCAGUCGAGAAUCUUGGGCAAUGCGCGAAAGCGUGACCCAGCAAUGCCGCGUGUGUGAUGAAGGUCUUCGGAUUGUAAAACACUGUCUCCCGGGACGAAAAACUGACGGUACCGGGGAAGGAAGCCACGGCUAACUACGUGCCAGCAGCCGCAGUAAGAC